rnacentral:tRNA from 1 species
GCGCCAGUAGCUCAAUGGAUAGAGCAUCUGUCUACGGAACAGAAGGUUGCAGGUUCGACUCCUGUCUGGCGCA